UAGGGAAUUUUCCGCAAUGGGCGAAAGCCUGACGGAGCAACGCCGCGUGAGGGAAGAAGGUCUUCGGAUCGUAAACCUUUGUCAUCGAGGACGAUAAUGACGGUACUCGAGGAGGAAGCCCCGGCUAACUACGUGCCAGCAGCCGCGGUAACACGUAGGGGGCGAGCGUUGUCCGGAAUUACUGGGCGUAAAGGGCGCGUAGGCGGCCUAAUAAGUCAGAUGUGAAACCCCCGGGCUUAACCCUGGGCUUGCAUUUGAAACUGUUGGGCUUGAGGACAGGAGAGGAAAGCGGAAUUCCCAGUGUAGCGGUGAAAUGCGUAGAUAUUGGGAGGAACACCAGUGGCGAAGGCGGCUUUCUGGACUGUAACUGACGCUGAGGCGCGAAAGCCAGGGUAGCGAACGGG
rnacentral:rRNA from 1 species